ACACUGGGCAUACUUAGUACGGCGAGUGAAGCGGUAAAAGCUCAAAUUUGAAAUCUGGUACUUUCAGUGCCCGAGUUGUAAUUUGUAGAAUUUGUCUUUGAUUAGGUCCUUGUCUAUGUUCCUUGGAACAGGACGUCAUAGAGGGUGAGAAUCCCGUUUGGCGAGGAUACCUUUUCUCUGUAAGACUUUUUCGAAGAGUCGAGUUGUUUGGGAAUGCAGCUCAAAGUGGGUGGUAAAUUCCAUCUAAAGCUAAAUAUUGGCGAGAGACCGAUAGCGAACAAGUACAGUGAUGGAAAGAUGAAAAGAACUUUGAAAAGAGAGUGAAAAAGUACGUGAAAUUGUUGAAAGGGAAGGGCAUUUGAUCAGACAUGGUGUUUUUUGCAUGCACUCGCCUCUCGUGGGCUUGGGCCUCUCAAAAAUUUCACUGGGCCAACAUCAAUUCUGGCAGCAGGAUAAAUCAUUAAGAAUGUAGCUACUUCGGUAGUGUUAUAGCUUUUUGGAAUACUGUUAGCCGGGAUUGAGGACUGCGCUUCGGCAAGGAUGUUGGCAUAAUGGUUAAAUGCCGCCCGUCUUGACCCAGAAAAAACCACACGAAAAUUUGCUACAAAACUUAACCCAAAGUCUCCUCCCUUUAUUUAUUCCCUUAUUAUCCUCUUGCUUUAAUUUUUUUUGUUUU
rnacentral:rRNA from 1 species